AACGAACGCUGGCGGCAGGCUUAACACAUGCAAGUCGAGCGAGACCUUCGGGUCUAGCGGCGGACGGGUGAGUAACGCGUGGGAACGUGCCCUUCUCUACGGAAUAGCCCCGGGAAACUGGGAGUAAUACCGUAUACGCCCUUUGGGGGAAAGAUUUAUCGGAGAAGGAUCGGCCCGCGUUGGAUUAGGUAGUUGGUGGGGUAAUGGCCCACCAAGCCGACGAUCCAUAGCUGGUUUGAGAGGAUGAUCAGCCACACUGGGACUGAGACACGGCCCAGACUCCUACGGGUGGCAGCAGUGGGGAAUCUUAGACAAUGGGGGCAACCCUGAUCUAGCCAUGCCGCGUGAGUGAUGAAGGCCUUAGGGUUGUAAAGCUCUUUCAGCUGGGAAGAUAAUGACGGUACCAGCAGAAGAAGCCCCGGCUAACUCCGUG
rnacentral:rRNA from 1 species